UGGGGAAUAUUGCACAAUGGGCGAAAGCCUGAUGCAGCGACGCCGCGUGCGGGAUGAAGGCCUUCGGGUUGUAAACCGCUUUUAAUCGGGAGCAAGCGAGAGUGAGUGUACCUUUUGAAUAAGCACCGGCUAACUACGUGCCAGCAGCCGCGGUAAUACGUAGGGUGCAAGCGUUAUCCGGAAUUAUUGGGCGUAAAGAGCUCGUAGGCGGUUUGUCACGCCUGGUGUGAAAGUCCAUCGCUUAACGGUGGAUCUGCGCCGGGUACGGGCAGGCUAGAGUGCAGUAGGGGAGAUUGGAAUUCCCGGUGUAACGGUGGAAUGUGUAGAUAUCGGGAAGAACACCAAUGGCGAAGGCAGAUCUCUGGGCUGUUACUGACGCUGAGGAGCGAAAAGCAUGGGGAGCGAACAGGAUUAGAUACCCUGGUAGUCCAUGCCGUAAAACGGUGGAUGCUGGAUGUGGGGCCCUUCCACGGGCUCCGUGUCGGAGCUAACGCGUUAAGCAUCCCGCCUGGGGAGUACGGCCGCAAGGCUAAAAACUCUAAAGUGAAUUGACGGGGU
rnacentral:rRNA from 1 species